AGCGAACAUUCGGACGCCGAAUCGAUUUCUUGUGAAUCUCAUCUCUGACGAUCCAGAGCCAUACUUGGUGGAGAAGAAGAAACAGCGGACAAGAAUCUGGCUCAGUUCUGGUAUGCCCGAUUGCCUACCAGAGGAAUCGAUUACUUCAAGUUUUAUUUUCAUGUCCACUCCUCAAAUCCACCUUAAAACCAAAGGAUCGGAAAACCAGCAAUAAUAGCUGGGUUGGCACAGUAUACACUUACUGAUUAGACUGUUCCUGUGAGUGCUGGUGGUUAUGUUCAUGCUACGGAGUUCGGCUGCUCGAGUCGUUGAAUCCCUACGAGCUUACUCUGAAGAUGGAGUGAAGAACUUGUCCCCAUCUGAACUGGGGGCAUCGGAUUAGUCUUACAAGUCAGAGGCACAACAUUCUGUUUUUCAAUUCAAUCUGAAUCUACUGAAGGUACCCAAAUCUGGACGCGAGAGGUACUCUAUACUUUGUGAAAAUUUACAAGAGCAGAGCGAGGAACUGAACUGUUAUUUUAUUCACUUCAUGAAUUACAUUGUUGAAACACCUUCAUGGUAUGUUUGGCUUCAAAUAAUUAUCUUUAAAUAGCACUUGGUUUGAUUAUAACAGUGAACCUCCAUGAUCGAUAUAUCGUUAGUUGAUCUCGGCAAGUUUUCUUCAAGUUUACGAACUUGAACACUACAGGUAGUUAUUUAGUUUUAUAAACAAUGCUUAGCAUUCCAAUAUCCGGGUGCCAUUGAUGAAGCUAUAUAUUCAUUCAUUCAUUGGUUUGGUUCGUUCGUUUGUCUGUUGAUUCAUAUUACUGCUUAAAUAAAUUUCAAAAUCUACAUAUCUCUUUGCAAAACAUUGGAGGUAUGGUCAUAUUGCACCUUCAUCAAGAUUGAAUUGUUUGUUCUUUUAAGUUUAAAUUACUGCUUAAAUAAGUUUCAAAACCACACAUGUUCUUUCUAUUAUACUCCUAAGCGGUCUUGAAAUCAAUGCCCUACGGUAGUUAAUGUGUUUUUCGUGCUCGACUGGUAUUAAUCUUAUUUUUAGUUAGUGCAGCUCGAGCUCUUCUUUGGAACAUUUAAAUAGAAAGGAACCGUCACACUUUUGAAGAUAAAUCUUUCACUUUUGAUAUUCCUACAUUUUUAGGAAUGUUCAGCACACCUCUUAUGGGCGAUGUCUAAAUUACGAGAAAUUCUUUUAUAACUACAGCAUCUUCAUACUUAUGCAUGAUUAGAAAGCCAUCCUUUGGUUGCUUUUGGCGGGGUUCCCUCUGCCCGUAGCGCUUAGGUUGUCGGUGCUUAGUUGUUUAUAUACACGUCUCAGAUUUCUUAUUAAAAAAGGUAUUAAUCCUCUUUAUAACCGGAAGGAAAACUUGACGGCACGCAUGGCUCUUCCUUAUUUAAUCUCUUUCUGUCAUGAUGUAUGUGAAAAAUGAUGCAGUUGCUUGGAUGCGUGACAUAAAGUUCAUAGUUUAUGGGGUGAAAUAUUAUUACAGAGUGCAUAUCAGGUAAUUUCACUUGAAAUACAACAGCCAUACUUUUUCUUCUUUUCUUCAAUCCUAGAAUGAAUACCAUUACCAUUUUUAAAUUGUAAGGUGUCGUUUGAGGGAUGAUUAUAAAUUAUACUCUCACGUUUGUAUACAUUGUGCAGUCAUCCCAUGAUAUAUUGCUGCUUGCUGAUGUAUACAGUUAUCUUAGUUGCAGAACUAGUUUCUUGUUUGUAACUGUAUAGGAAGCAAUUUGGAUGGAACCAGAUGCUUUGGUAGCGACAUCAGUUAGUCCUUUUAUAGUUACGGUCACCGUUGAUCGGAGCUUUGGUUGUUCAAGAAAUGCUGACAACGUUGACAACUAUUUGGUGAAUGUGAAAGGGACAGGGAGGUUUGUGAUCUUGGUUUUGAUCUGUAUUAAACUUUUUUCUCUUGGUUUUUCCAUGAGAUUCAAGAUAAUGUUCUAAUGUUCUUUUUAUAGGGCGUCUCUCUGCCAAAAUAUUUCCGUCUAUCAUUAUUUUAUUGUUUUAUUGCGAUUUAAAUCAUACAUUACUUUU